AUGCUUUCUGCCACCUGCUCUGUUCUUGUGAUCUUAGUAUUCAGAGGGACCAAUGGAGACUCAGUGAACCAGACAGAAGGCCCAGUCACUCUCUCAGAGGGGGCGCCUGUGAUCGUGAACUGCACUUACCAGGCCACUUAUUCCACUCCUUUCCUUUUCUGGUAUGUCCAGUACCUCAAUAAAGCUCCUCAACUCCUCCUGAAGAGCUCAACAGAAAACCAGAGGACAGAGCCUCAAGGCUUUCAGGCCAAUCAUGUUAAGAGUGACAGCUCCUUCCACCUGCGGAAACCCUCAGUGCAGAUGUCAGACUCCGCCAUGUACUACUGCGCUGUGAGAGACACAGUGAGGGGGACUGAAGGGGGAGCUGAGCACAAACCCAGAGGGUGCAGGUGGGGCUGA